rnacentral:rRNA from 1 species
GACGAACGCUGGCGGCGUGCCUAAUACAUGCAAGUAGAACGCACAGUUUAUACCGUAGCUUGCUACACCAUAGACUGUGAGUUGCGAACGGGUGAGUAACGCGUAGGUAACCUGCCUGGUAGCGGGGGAUAACUAUUGGAAACGAUAGCUAAUACCGCAUAAUAUUAAUUAUUGCAUGAUAAUUAAUUGAAAGGUGCAAUUGCACCACUACCAGAUGGACCUGCGUUGUAUUAGCUAGUGGUGAGGUAACGGCUCACCUAGGCGACGAUACAUAGCCGACCUGAGAGGGUGAUCGGCCACACUGGGACUGAGACACGGCCCAGACUCCUACGGGAGGCAGCAGUAGGGAAUCUUCGGCAAUGGACGAAAGUCUGACCGAGCAACGCCGCGUGAGUGAAGAAGGGUUUCGGAUCGUAAAGCUCUGUUGUAAGAGAAGAACGGGUGUGAGAGUGGAAAGUUCACACUGUGACGGUAUCUUACCAGAAAGGGACGGCUAACUACGUG